rnacentral:rRNA from 1 species
GAUGUUGGCUUAGAAGCAGCCAUGCAUUUAAAGAGUGCGUAACAGCUCACUGGUCAAGUGGACAUGCGCCGACAAUUCACGGGGCUAAGCAUGGUACCGAAGCGGCGGACUAAUCUAUAUUAGUGGUAGGGGAGCUUUCCCCGCAGCGGAGAAGCCGAGAGGGCGACCCUCGGUGGAGCGCGGGGAAGUGAGAAUGCUGGCAUGAGUAACGAGAGCGGCGCGAGAAACGCCGCCGCCGUAAGCCUAAGGGUUCCUGGGCAAGGCUAAUCCUCCCAGGGUCAGUCGGGAGCUAAGGCGAGGCCGAGAGGCGUAGCCGAUGCGCAACAGGCGGACAUUCCUGUACCGCCUGCGGACCGCUAUCACCGACGGGGUGACGGAGAAGGGUAGCCGAGCGGGGUUCUGGACGUCCCCGUGAAAGCGCGUAGGGAGCAUCGCAUGGAAAUCAGCGGCGCAUAUAUCCUGAGACGCGAGACGAAAGCUUAUGCUGAAGUCGGCGAGCCCAUGCUUCCGAGAAAAACCUCUAGGAAGGGACGCAGGCGCCCGUACCAAAACCGACACAGGUGGGCAGGUAGAGCAUACCGAGGCGAUCGGGAGAACCAUGGUUAAGGAACUCGGCAUACUGACUCCGUAACUUCGGGAGAAGGAGUGCCCCUGGCGGUGACGGGACUAGCUCCCCGAGCGGCCGGGGGUCGCAGCGAAACGGCCCAAGCGACUGUUUAUCAAAAACACAGGACUCUGCAAAGCCGUAAGGCGACGUAUAGGGUCUGACGCCUGCCCGGUGCUGGAAGGUUACGCGGAUGGGUCAGCCGCAAGGCGAAGCUCUGAAGCCAAGCCCCAGUAAACGGCGGCCGUAACUAUAACGGUCCUAAGGUAGCGAAAUUCCUUGUCGGGUAAGUUCCGACCUGCACGAAUGGCGUAACGAUUUGGGCGCUGUCUCAACCAUGGACCCGGUGAAAUUGUAUUAUUCGUGAAGAUGCGAAUUACCUGCGGAAGGACGGAAAGACCCCGUGAACCUUUACUGCAGCUUGACAUUGAUCGUUGGCUCGGCGCGUAGAGGAUAGGCAGGAGGCUGCGAAGCCCGGGCGCCAGCCCGGGCGGAGCCGACCUUGGAAUACUGCCCUCGUCGCGUCGGCGAUCUAACCCCCGGCCGUGAUCCGGCGGGGGGACCGUGUCAGGCGGGUAGUUUGACUGGGGCGGUCGCCUCCCAAAACGUAACGGAGGCGCGCAAAAGGUCCGCUCAGGACGGUCGGCAACCGUCCCGAGAGCGCAAGAGUGCAAGCGG